UGGGGAAUUUUGGACAAUGGGCGAAAGCCUGAUCCAGCAAUGCCGCGUGUGUGAAGAAGGCCUUCGGGUUGUAAAGCACUUUUGUCCGGAAAGAAAUCCUUGGCUCUAAUACAGUCGGGGGAUGACGGUACCGGAAGAAUAAGCACCGGCUAACUACGUGCCAGCAGCCGCGGUAAUACGUAGGGUGCAAGCGUUAAUCGGAAUUACUGGGCGUAAAGCGUGCGCAGGCGGUUUGCUAAGACCGAUGUGAAAUCCCCGGGCUCAACCUGGGAACUGCAUUGGUGACUGGCAGGCUAGAGUAUGGCAGAGGGGGGUAGAAUUCCACGUGUAGCAGUGAAAUGCGUAGAGAUGUGGAGGAAUACCGAUGGCGAAGGCAGCCCCCUGGGCCAAAUACUGACGCUCAUGCACGAAAGCGUGGGGAGCAAACAGGAUUAGAUACCCUGGUAGUCCACGCCCUAAAACGAUGUCAACUAGUUGUUGGGGGAUUCAUUUCCUUAGUAACGUAGCUAACGCGUGAAGUUGA
rnacentral:rRNA from 1 species